rnacentral:rRNA from 1 species
GAAUUCGAUUAACGCGAAGAACCUUACCCAGGCUUGAACAGCGAGUGACCACUCCCGAAAGGGAGCUUCCGCAAGGACACUCGUAGAGGUGCUGCAUGGCUGUCGUCAGCUCGUGUCGUGAGAUGUUGGGUUAAGUCCCGCAACGAGCGCAACCCUUGUCUGCUGUUGCCAUCAGGUUAUGCUGGGCACUCUGCAGAGACUGCCGGUGAUAAACCGGAGGAAGGUGGGGAUGACGUCAAGUCAGCAUGGCCUUUAUGUCUGGGGCUACACACGUGCUACAAUGGCCGGUACAAACCGUCGCGAUACCGCAAGGUGGAGCUAAUCGGAGAAAGCCGGUCUCAGUUCGGAUAGCAGGCUGCAACUCGCCUGCUUGAAGUUGGAAUCGCUAGUAAUCGCGGAUCAGCACGCCGCGGUGAAUACGUUCCCGGGCCUUGUCACACCGAAUCACUA